rnacentral:rRNA from 1 species
UAGGGAAUAUUGGACAAUGGGCGAAAGCCUGAUCCAGCCAUGCCGCGUGAGUGAUGAAGGCCUUAGGGUUGUAAAGCUCUUUCGGCGGGGACGAUAAUGACGGUACCCGCAGAAGAAGCCCCGGCUAACUUCGUGCCAGCAGCCGCGGUAAUACGAAGGGGGCUAGCGUUGUUCGGAAUCACUGGGCGUAAAGCGCAUGCAGGCGGAUCGCUAAGUCGGGGGUGAAAGCCCGAGGCUCAACCUCGGAACUGCCUUCGAUACUGACGAUCUUGAGUCCGGGAGAGGUGAGUGGAACUGCGAGUGUAGAGGUGAAAUUCGUAGAUAUUCGCAAGAACACCAGUGGCGAAGGCGGCUCACUGGCCCGGUACUGACGCUGAGAUGCGAAAGCGUGGGGAGCAAA